AUUCCAUGAUGUGGGCAGUCUAAUAUGUAUCCUUGAAAACGCUCCCUUGCUUCUAGAAUAGGUUCACCUUUUUGCUGAUGAAAUUCUGAAAUCUUCUCUCGUAAGAUA
rfam:Sorghum bicolor cultivar BTx623 chromosome 7, whole genome shotgun sequence.